rnacentral:rRNA from 1 species
GAUGAACGCUGGCGGCGUGCCUAAUACAUGCAAGUCGAGCGAACAGACGAGGAGCUUGCUCCUCUGACGUUAGCGGCGGACGGGUGAGUAACACGUGGAUAACCUACCUAUAAGACUGGGAUAACUUCGGGAAACCGGAGCUAAUACCGGAUAAUAUAUUGAACCGCAUGGUUCAAUAGUGAAAGACGGUUUUGCUGUCACUUAUAGAUGGAUCCGCGCCGCAUUAGCUAGUUGGUAAGGUAACGGCUUACCAAGGCAACGAUGCGUAGCCGACCUGAGAGGGUGAUCGGCCACACUGGAACUGAGACACGGUCCAGACUCCUACGGGAGGCAGCAGUGGGGAAUCUUCCGCAAUGGGCGAAAGCCUGACGGAGCAACGCCGCGUGAGUGAUGACGGUCCUCGGACCGUAAAACUCUGUUAUUAGGGAAGAACAAAUGUGUAAGUAACUAUGCACGUCUUGACGGUACCUAAUCAGAAAGCCACGGCUAACUACGUG